AAAUUGAAGAGUUUGAUCAUGGCUCAGAUUGAACGCUGGCGGCAGGCCUAACACAUGCAAGUCGAACGGUAACAGGAAGAAGCUUGCUUCUUUGCUGACGAGUGGCGGACGGGUGAGUAAUGUCUGGGAAACUGCCUGAUGGAGGGGGAUAACUACUGGAAACGGUAGCUAAUACCACAUAACGUCGCAAGACCAAAGAGGGGGACCUUCGGGCCUCUUGCCAUCGGAUGUGCCCAGAUGGGAUUAGCUAGUAGGUGGGGUAA
rnacentral:rRNA from 1 species